ACCAAGAUAGCACCAGACUUAUACUAUGAUCUCGACAUGGCUAAUUCUUUGUCUCUUUGCAGACAUAUUUUACUUGGUAUCUUGCAACUGCAGCACUAAUUGCUCAGAAAUAGUAUGUGCCAAAGGUGAUGACCCGAUUUGCCAUGUUUCAAAAUGCGUUUGUAAACGACACACGGGGGUAUGUUUUAAUGACGCUGAAUGCGGAUACGGAGAACAUUGUGAUCACCCAAUGUGUGACACAUCUUCCCACCAAUGUCAUUGCGGACAUCUACCUCGCCACCACCACCACUGCUCUUCGGACCCCGACUGUACAAGCUCAAGCAGCCACUGUAGCUCGGGAGUUCACAGCCGGUGUUACCAUGGCUAUUGCUAUUGCUUAGAGAAAUUCUCGGUCGGAGAAUGUGGUCAUCACCACCACCAUCAUGAUGAAGAAUGUCAUCAUCAUUCUUGCCCUUCAUCUUACAGUGAAAUAUGUUCAAGUAACAAGUGUGGCUGUAUUCGUGACUCUGUUGAGUGUUUGGAAGACUCUCAUUGUGCACACCAUGGCUGCCAUGGCAACGGGAAACCUACUUGUGAAAAUAACGGAUGUGUCUGCAUUGAUAAGGUUUCAGUAACAUGCAAUGCCGGAUGGAUAAAAUUAGGGGAGAAUUGCUACCGCAAGUAUGGACACCAAGCAGAUUGGAUACACGCCAUGAAAGACUGUAAAGGAAAUGGUGGUGCUCUAGUAGAUAUCGGUUCCCACGAGGAGCAGUCAUUUGUUCAAAAAAUGGCUGGUGGAAAUGAUGUCUGGAUUGCUGGUUCGGAUUCAAGUGAAGAGGGCAAGUGGAGAUGGUUUGGCAGUGGUCAAACUUGGGGUUACACAAACUGGAACAAAGGCCAACCUGAUAACUAUAAAGAUCAUGAGGAUUGCGCCGUCAUGACCUCUGGUGGACAUUGGAACGAUACAAACUGUAACGAACACAGAAACUACAUCUGUGAACAAACGACUGUGUCGGGUCUACAACUCUUACACAACACUGCGAAAGCGUUCAUUGUCCAAUUGAUGGUUCCUGGUCCGCCUGGGGCGCUUGGGGACAUUGUUCUGUAACGUGUGGUGGAGGAACAAAGGAACGUCAUAGGACCUGUUCAAACCCGGUCCCAAGUCAUGGAGGGGCGAAUUGUGUCGGGUCUAAUAAGAACUCACAUAACUGCAACGAUGCCUCUUGUCCAACUGCAGCACCAGGCGUACCAUGCCCAGUCUGCGACCCAUCCAUGAACUGUGUGUGGGGAAAUGAGUGUCCAGACGGUCAAACUUGCAUGAUUCGAUCCUACCCACAUUACAAAUUUACGGUCCAUUGCUCCAUUAAAGAUGACUGUCAUUUUAUCAAAGCAGUUACCACAUCGGGCGAGAUAUAUUGCUGUGAUGACAGGCAAUGUUUAAGAACUAUUCUUGGUUUAUGAAUAAGGAAUAACUUAUAUAAAAUACAGCAAAAAUCUG
rnacentral:misc_RNA from 1 species